rnacentral:lncRNA from 1 species
GUAUACUUGCAGAUAUAAUGAUAUUCACCUAUAAGAGAACCCAAUCUAUACGUAAUUUAGGUAGUUAACUCCUCUCAUUUAGCUUUAGAAACAAACUAAAAUCAUCUCCUUUAGCUUCAAAACAAAACAAUAAACAAAAGCCAGUGUCAAAAUGAUGAGUUAUUUUCCCUAUUAACCUGUUCAUUAAGAAUAUCAUAGAGAAUUAAGGCUCAAUGAUAAUCGAUAAAUAAAAAGAAAAAAAAGCUACACGGUGUCUGUUUUCUUUCUCUGAAUCUUGACUAGUGAUGAAACUCUCUCUUUUCUAAGCUUCCAAUUCCAAUGAUGGUGAUAAAGCUAAGUUCUAUAUGUUCUAUUUCUCUCUCAUUUUUUAGAUCUUGAUUAGUGAUGAAAGCCACCUUUUUCUCAGCUUCUAAUACCAACGAUGGUAAUCAAGGGCAUCGACUCAAUGAAUGGAUGAUGAACAUGAUAUGCUAUACUAAAGAACUCGUGAACAAAAUCAAAGUGCAACCAGAGAGAAAUCGAUGUCAAAGGAAAAAGAAGAGAAAAAAUCAAAUUGCUUUGUAGGGGUAGAAAGAGGAAAAAAAGACCUGCUGGAAAGAACCACCGUCUACGGCGGUGUAAUGUGAAGGAAGACGGAGCUUCCGUGAAAAUUAUGAGGUUAGCGGUGGAGUUCUGUGGCAAUUAGGGUGUCGCUAGAAAGGAAGAGAAUAUAUGACUGUAAAAGAAAAAGAAUAUUCAUUUAAUAAUCGAGAAAUUAAGGAAAUUGGAGAACGACAUA